GUUGGUUGACCAUUUAUUCUUUUCUUUUUAUUCGUUUAUCUAUAACCAAUAGCUUUCAUUAAGCUUUCAGCUCUCGAACCCAUUUAUUGUUGUCACCCUUUAUCAUUUUACUCGUUUCUUAAUUUUUCUUCUCCAACUGUGUUUAUCUGAUAAUCAAACUGUGAACAAUUCAAGCCAGGAUAUUUUAUAUUUAUAAAUACUAAUUUUGGUGAGGAUCAUAUUUAUGUAAUUGUUAUGCCAAUUGAUGGUGAUGACAGUGGUCAAUUAAUCUUGUUACAUGGUAACCCAAACAUUCGAAGUUAUAUAACAUUUGUUUUCAUUGGAUAAUUUGAAAUAUAUUGAAAUGUCGGUCGGUUCAAAAGCUAUUUCAAUGGAUAGGAUCAAUGGACAGGAUCAUUAGGAAGCUUUCAGGAUGCAAGGUUCAUAAUUGUUUUUGGAAGACAAUUGUAACAUGUUAUUAAAUAAAUUCUGGAAAAGCUAAGCCAAUUAUCGCAGUAAAAUCACACCAUCAAACUUGAAGUUAUCACCUAUUUUAGGAUAAACUUCAUUAACUCAGUUGAGAUUCUUUCGAGUUAACUAAAUUGAAAACUUAAGCGCUUAAUUACUUGGUUAUGGUGGAUGGAUCGAAUGAGAUGUCUAUCCAUUGGGAAAACCAUAUAAAGGAAAUAAAGUAAAGGAAACGAGUAGGAGUAAGAAAAUCAAUUGAGCAGUGAGUGUUCCUGAGGAAUGGAAGCCAACUCUAAUGAAAUAUUAAUUUUUUUGAAAGAAAAUGAUGAAUUAUUGAAACAUGAGAAGUAAAUACAGUCAAUUGUGUUGAAAUAAAGUUCAUCCUAUCCUGAAACAA